GAGUUUGAUCCUGGCUCAGGACGAACGCUGGCGGCGUGCCUAACACAUGCAAGUCGAACGGAGUUAAAUUCGACACCCGAGUAUCCGGCCGGGAGGCGGGGUGCUGGGGGUUGGAUUUAACUUAGUGGCGGACGGGUGAGUAACGCGUGAGUAACCUGCCUUUCAGAGGGGGAUAACGUUCUGAAAAGAACGCUAAUACCGCAUAACAUCAAUUUAUCGCAUGAUAGGUUGAUCAAAGGAGCAAUCCGCUGGAAGAUGGACUCGCGUCCGAUUAGCCAGUUGGCGGGGUAACGGCCCACCAAAGCGACGAUCGGUAGCCGGACUGAGAGGUUGAACGGCCACAUUGGGACUGAGACACGGCCCAGACUCCUACGGGAGGCAGCAGUGGGGGAUAUUGCACAAUGGGGGAAACCCUGAUGCAGCAACGCCGCGUGAGGGAAGAAGGUUUUCGGAUUGUAAACCUCUGUUCUUAGUGACGAUAAUGACGGUACCUAACAAGAAAGCACCGGCUAACUACGUGCCAGCCGCCGCGGUAAUUC
rnacentral:rRNA from 1 species